CAGCAGCCGCGGGAAUACGGAGGGUGCAAGCGUUAAUCGGAAUUACUGGGCGUAAAGCGCACGCAGGCGGUCUGACAAGUCAGAUGUGAAAUCCCCGGGCUUAACCUGGGAACUGCAUUUGAAACUGUCAGGCUGGAGUCUUGUAGAGGGGGGUGGAAUUCCAGGUGUAGCGGUGAAAUGCGUAGAGAUCUGGAGGAAUACCGGUGGCGAAGGCGGCCCCCUGGACAAAGACUGACGCUCAGGUGCGAAAGCGUGGGGAGCAAACAGGAUUAGAUACCCGUGUAGUCCCUGUCUCUUAUCC
rnacentral:rRNA from 1 species